AUACGGAGGGUCCAAGCGUUGUUCGGAAUCAUUGGGCGUAAAGCGGGUGCAGGCGGUGGAAUAAGUCGGAUGUGAAAUCCCGGGGCCCAACCCCGGAACUGCAUUCGAAACUGUUUCACUAGAGUCCCGGAGAGGAAGGCGGAAUUCCCGGUGUAGAGGUGAAAUUCGUAGAUAUCGGGAGGAACACCAGUGGCGAAGGCGGCCUUCUGGACGGUGACUGACGCUCAGACCCGAAAGCGUGGGGAGCAAACAGGAUUAGAAACCCCAGUAGUCC
rnacentral:rRNA from 1 species